ensembl:antisense 2810001G20Rik RIKEN cDNA 2810001G20 gene
CUCUCGUCACUUCCGGCUCCCAGCGCUCUCUGAAAGCUAGGCCAGCGGAGCUUAUAAAGAUCGGAUGGUAGAGCUUUCGCUUUCCCCUCAGACGCUCCAGAUGUAGACUAGGUGAGCUCUCUGCCCGGGAGGGACAGAUCGUCGGAGCCCGCGGGCGGAAGGCGAGUCGUGGCGGGGUUAGGGCUCUGGAGUCCGGCCCCGCCCGGCAGUCCCCUGAGCUUGAAAAAUUGAAUGCCUCCUCAGUUGUCACCCAGGCUGAUCUUGCGCAGGCUGUUGGCUUCUCGUGGAGUUUGAGUUUUUGGACAGUGACGUAGGAUGGCUGUGUUGCCCAGACAAGAGAAGAAAAAGAAGAACCUGUUGCUUAAGUUCUGGAGACAUUUUUGUUGCUGUUGUUUACUGAGCAUGUGAAGGGAGGUCUUUCUGCCUUGCCUGUUUUAUUUUCAGGAAGCAGGGUUGGGAAUGAACCCUGGCGCUGAGACAGCCAUCCUGAAGCUAGAACAAGCCGGAAGAACAAAUAAACCCCAGUUUCUUGUAUCCUGGCUGAUGUAUUUAGUGAAUGGCCUAGGGGGCUGAACAACCUGCAUUAAAGCUUGCUGCAGAUACAUGAGACAGAGUCAACUGAGCUUGGGGCAGCUCUCCAAGACGGAUGCUGUGCCCAAUUUAAAAAGACAAAGUCAAAUAGGAUGAGGUUUGGGUUUGAACUUUUGUUUUUUUUUUCAGAUGACCUCAGUAUGUAGCCUACGACUUUUUUUAAACUGGUGUUUCUCCUGCCUGGGCCCUCUGAAUACUAGAAAUGCAGGUAUGCACCAUGGGGUUGAGGUGUUAACCAUUUCUAAAAUAAAAUAAACCUGUAAGGCUUUAAGUAACACUAAAAAUAAAAAUAAAAGGGCAUUUUGUACA